rnacentral:rRNA from 1 species
GACGAACGCUGGCGGUGUGCUUAACACAUGCAAGUCGAACGGUAAGGCCCUUUCGGGGGUACACGAGUGGCGAACGGGUGAGUAACACGUGAGUAACCUGCCCUCAUCUCUGGGAUAACAGUCGGAAACGGUUGCUAAUACUGGAUAUGAGCCUGCAAGGCAUCUUGUGGGUUGGAAAGAUUUUUUGGUUGGGGAUGGACUCGCGGCCUAUCAGCUUGUUGGUGAGGUAGUGGCUCACCAAGGCUUCGACGGGUAGCCGGCCUGAGAGGGCGACCGGCCACAUUGGGACUGAGAUACGGCCCAAACUCCUACGGGAGGCAGCAGUGGGGAAUAUUGCACAAUGGACGGAAGUCUGAUGCAGCAACGCCGCGUGCGGGGUGACGGCCUUCGGGUUGUAAACCGCUUUCAAUUGUGACGAAGCUUUUUGUGACGGUAGCAGUAGAAGAAGCACCGGCUAACUACGUG